rnacentral:tRNA from 1 species
GGAGAGGUGCCGGAGCGGCCGAACGGGCACGCCUGGAAAGCGUGUGAUCUGAAAGGAUCCGUGGGUUCAAAUCCCACCCUCUCCG